AAGCUGCUCUUUCAGCCUCUUCUCCAUUUUAGGAGUAAUCUUGGUAGUCCAAGAUUUCGACUCAACACUCCUUUCUGACAUCAUCUUCAUUUCUUUCAUUCUAGUUUGAUCUAACAUAGCGAAAGGGGGCAGUGAACGCUCAGCAACAAUCCAGUUAUUAAAGGAUUCAGCAAUACCAUUUGCCAUAAUCCCAUACCGACAACCUUUAAAAAAAGCACGGCACCAAUGUUCCAAUGGAAUCUCCCUUAUGAAUUCAUCAAUAGUAGCAGCACCACCCCCAUCUCUCAAAUUUUUUAAAUGAAAGUAGAAAGACUUCUCAGUCGAUGCGUAAGCCACUUUAAAGAAUUUUUGUAACACAUCAGCAACAACAAUUUCCCCUCCUUUGUUCUUAUACUUUCGACUAAGGUUGUAUCGCAAAUGAUGAUAACAGUAAAGAUGAGGAUUACCAGGAAAAAUGAGAUCAAAUGCCUUCAACAAACCAACAGUACCACGAUCACUAAUGAAUGUGAUAAUCCUUCCUUGCGGUUCCAACAAAGCCUUCAAGUUCUUGAAGAAAAACAACCAGUUUUCUUCAGUCUCUGAAUCACAAAAACACAAGGCUAAAGGGAAGAAACCUGCACAAUAAAAAAACAAACAAACAAUUACUAGGGGCAGUAAAAUAAACAGCAGCGUGCCGCUGCACCGCUAACGGGAGCGUUCCGCUCCAAAAUGAAAGUCUAACAAACCAUAAAACUAUAAGAAAACAUAUUCGAAUCAGAAGAAUAAAGAUUUCAAAAAUUACUGGGGGGUAGUAAAAUAUAUAGAGGCAAAAAAAUACAAUUGACUACCCCCAGUAAGCUUCUACUGGGGGUAGUAAACCUGCAAAACAGUAUCUCCAAAGGCUAUUAUACACAUUAAAACAGUGAAAAAUUAACUUAGAUGCGAAAUAAUAAAGUUUACUAGGGGUAGUAUCGUUUAAAAAUAGAGAUUACUACCCUAGUAAUCUUCUACUGGGUGUAGUAAACUUGCAAAACAAUAUCCCCAAAGGCCGUAAUACACAUUAAAACGUGCUUCUGCACAGCUAAUGGGAGCGUUCCUUUCCAAAACUAA
rnacentral:lncRNA from 1 species